rnacentral:rRNA from 1 species
AUUGAGCGCUGGCGGCAUGAUUUACACAUGCAAGUCGAACGGUAACAGGCCGCAAGGUGCUGACGAGUGGCGAACGGGUGAGUAAUGCAUCGGAACGUGCCCAGUCGUGGGGGAUAACUACUCGAAAGAGUAGCUAAUACCGCAUACGAUCUAUGGAUGAAAGCGGGGGACCGUAAGGCCUCGCGCGAUUGGAGCGGCCGAUGUCAGAUUAGGUAGUUGGUGGGGUAAAGGCUCACCAAGCCAACGAUCUGUAGCUGGUCUGAGAGGACGACCAGCCACACUGGGACUGAGACACGGCCCAGACUCCUACGGGAGGCAGCAGUGGGGAAUUUUGGACAAUGGGCGCAAGCCUGAUCCAGCAAUGCCGCGUGCAGGAAGAAGGCCUUCGGGUUGUAAACUGCUUUUGUACGGAACGAAACGGCUCUGGUUAAUACCCGGGGCUAAUGACGGUACCGUAAGAAUAAGCACCGGCUAACUACGUG